AUGAAGCUGGAUUCGCUAGUAAUCGCGCAUCAGCCAUGGCGCGGUGAAUACGUUCCCGGGCCUUGUACACACCGCCCGUCAAGCCAUGGAAGCCGGGAGUGCCUGAAGUGCGUGAGCGUAAGCAGCGCCCUAAGGUAAAACCGGUGACUGGGGCUAAGUCGUAACAAGGUAAC
rnacentral:rRNA from 1 species